rnacentral:rRNA from 1 species
GCAAGAUUAAAACUCAAAGGAAUAGACGGGGACCCGCACAAGCGGUGGAGCAUGUGGUUUAAUUCGACGAUACGCGAAGAACCUUACCUGGCCUUGACAUAGACAGAAUUUUCCAGAGGCGGAGAAGUGCUAGUUUACUAGAACUGUCAUACAGGUGCUGCACGGCUGUCGUCAGCUCGUGUCGUGAGAUGUUGGGUUAAGUCCCGCAACGAGCGCAACCCUCGUGUUUAGUUACUAACAGUUCGGCUGAGGACUCUAAACAGACUGCCUGGGUAACCAGGAGGAAGGUGAGGACGACGUCAAGUCAUCAUGGCCCUUACGGCCAGGGCUACACACGUGCUACAAUGGGGUAUACAAAGAGCUGCAAUACGGUGACGUGGAGCAAAUCUCAUAAAAUAUCUCCCAGUUCGGAUUGAAGUCUGCAACUCGACUUCAUGAAGUUGGAAUCGCUAGUAAUCGUAGAUCAGCAAUGCUACGGUGAAUACGUUCCCGGGUCUUGUACUCACCGCCCGUCACACCAUGGGAAUUGAAUUCAUUCGAAGCGGGGAUGCUAAAAUAGCUACCUUCCACAGUGGAUUUAGUAACUAGGGUGAAGUCGUAACAAGGUA